rnacentral:rRNA from 1 species
UACGGAGGGUGCGAGCGUUAAUCGGAAUUACUGAGCGUAAAGCGCACGCAGGCGGUUUGUUAAGCUAGAUGUGAAAGCCCCGGGCUCAACCUGGGAUGGUCAUUUAGAACUGGCAGACUAGAGUCUUGGAGAGGGGAGUGGAAUUCCAGGUGUAGCGGUGAAAUGCGUAGAUAUCUGGAGGAACAUCAGUGGCGAAGGCGACUCCCUGGCCAAAGACUGACGCUCAUGUGCGAAAGUGUGGGUAGCGAACAGG